rnacentral:rRNA from 1 species
GACGUAGGGCGCGAGCGUUGUCCGGAUUUAUUGGGCGUAAAGAGCUCGUAGGCGGUUUGUCGCGUCUGCUGUGAAAACUGGGGGCUCAACCCCCAGCCUGCAGUGGGUACGGGCAGACUAGAGUGCGGUAGGGGGAGAUUGGAAUUCCUGGUGUAGCGGUGGAAUGCGCAGAUAUCAGGAGGAACACCGAUGGCGAAGGCAG